AGAACGAACGCUGGCGGCAGGCUUAACACAUGCAAGUCGAGCGCCCCGCAAGGGGAGCGGCAGACGGGUGAGUAACGCGUGGGAACAUACCCUCCGGUUCGGAAUAGCUCAGGGAAACUUGGAUUAAUACCGGAUACGGCCUAGCGGCGAAAGAUUCAUCGCCGGAGGAUUGGCCCGCGUUCGAUUAGCUAGUUGGUGAGGUAACGGCUCACCAAGGCGACGAUCGAUAGCUGGUCUGAGAGGAUGAUCAGCCACAUUGGGACUGAGACACGGCCCAAACUCCUACGGGAGGCAGCAGUGGGGAAUAUUGGACAAUGGCGCAAGCCUGAUCCAGCCAUGCCGCGUGAGUGAUGACGGCCUUAGGGUUGUAAAGCUCUUUCGCUAGGGACGAUAAUGACGGUACCUAGACAAGAAGCCCCGGCUAACUUCGCGCCAGCAGCCGC
rnacentral:rRNA from 1 species